GGCUUCCAUGGUGUAGUGGUUAUCACGUUCGCUUUGCCAGCGGUAUGUCCUGGGUUCGAUUCCCAGUGGAGCCA
rnacentral:tRNA from 1 species